rnacentral:rRNA from 1 species
AUCCCUUGACAUCCUGCGAACUUUCUAGAGAUAGAUUGGUGCCUUCGGGAACGCAGUGACAGGUGCUGCAUGGCUGUCGUCAGCUCGUGUCGUGAGAUGUUGGGUUAAGUCCCGCAACGAGCGCAACCCUUAUCAUUAGUUGCUAACAUUUAGUUGAGAACUCUAAUGAGACUGCCGGUGAUAAACCGGAGGAAGGCGGGGACGACGUCAAGUCAUCAUGGCCCUUAUGGGAUGGGCUACACACGUGCUACAAUGGGGGGUACAAAGAGCAGCCAACUGGCGACAGUGCGCGAAUCUCAUAAAACCUCUCGUAGUCCGGAUCGGAGUCUGCAACUCGACUCCGUGAAGUCGGAAUCGCUAGUAAUCGUGAAUCAGAAUGUCACGGUGAAUACGUUACCGGGCCU